rnacentral:rRNA from 1 species
UUGGGAACGGAGUUUCAUCUCCCAACCCCUGUGACAUACCUUACUGUUGCCUCGGCGGAUCAGCCCGCUCCCGGUAAAACGGGACGGCCCGCCAGAGGACCCCUAAACUCUGUUUCUAUAUGUAACUUCUGAGUAAAACCAUAAAUAAAUCAAAACUUUCAACAACGGAUCUCUUGGUUCUGGCAUCGAUGAAGAACGCAGCAAAAUGCGAUAAGUAAUGUGAAUUGCAGAAUUCAGUGAAUCAUCGAAUCUUUGAACGCACAUUGCGCCCGCCAGUAUUCUGGCGGGCAUGCCUGUUCGAGCGUCAUUUCAACCCUCAAGCCCUCGGGUUUGGUGUUGGGGAUCGGCGAGCCUUUCUGGCAAGCCGGCCCCGAAAUCUAGUGGCGGUCUCGCUGCAGCCUCCAUUGCGUAGUAGUAAAACCCUCGCAACUGGAACGCGGCGCGGCCAAGCCGUUAAACCCCCAACUUCUGAAUGUUGACCUCGGAUCAGGUAGGAAUACCCGCUGAACUUAAGCAUAUCAAAAGCCGGAGGAA